GACGAACCGUGCGAACGUUGUUCGGAAUCACUGGGCAUAAAGGGCGCGUAGGCGGCUCGCGAGGUCGGGGGUGAAAUCCCACAGCUUAACUGUGGAAGUGCCUUCGAUACCGGCGGGCUGGAGGAAGGUAGGGGUGCGCGGAACUUCUGGUGGAGCGGUGAAAGUGCGUUGAUAUCAGAAGGAACGCCGGCGGCGAAAGCGGCGCACUGGACCUUUCUGACGCUGAGGCGCGAAAGCCAGGGGAGCAAACGGG
rnacentral:rRNA from 1 species